AAAUCAAGCUAGCACCACAUCGUUCUAGAAUCUGGCAACAAAGAAUUUCAUCCCAGCACUUCUCUGUAAGAAAUAGAACACAAAACAGACAGAAACUUACUCUCUUUUCCUAAGCAUACACUCCAUUACAGAGACAUUCUCAUCAAGGGAAGAAAGAUCUCAAAGCCAGAUCAGGGAUCUCUGGAAGAGGCAUGUGACAAGCCUAUUUGAGUUGGAUUUUUGUCACUGGAAACCUAAAGCGCCAAACACCAGAAUGAAGAAAGAACCUGGCUACAUGAGGCUUAAUUUGACGAUCCCAACAAUCCAUUGUUAAUGAUGUGCCAUCAUUGUGAUUUGCAUUUGAUGAGAAAUGGGAAUGCGAUUGCAGUUAUGUAGCAUGCAUGUGUUAAAUCUGAUCUCUAAUAAAAUCAAACACAUCACAACUCAAAGCACUUUAGCACAGUGUCGGCAAAAUGAAACACCAUCUGUCAUCAUGUAGAGAUUGCCUUAUUAUAAAACAAAAUCAAACUGCUCAGUGUGAACAUUGUUACUUAAUA